UGGAUUGCUAAAAAAAAAAAAAAAACAAAAAACAAAAAAUAAAACUAUAAAACAACCCCAAAAAACCCUUGAUCUUCAGGAUGCAGAAUGAAGGCGCUAUCUGAACUUGGGGAAAGUUGGUAAACAGAAGGUUGACAGCCAAUGUUGGUGCCCCCCCACAUCGAGGGAACAGAGGCUGUGUUGCAUGGAUGCGUUCCAGUUGGAGGAGAGCUUUGCGAUGCGGAGAAGCUCUCGGGUCAGGUGAAGACAGCAGGAGUCUUGCAAAGCAGAUGGAGACACAAGAAUUCACAUCAUUUAGAAGAUGCAGCAAGGAUUCUCCCUCCUGCAGCACCUCUUCAGCCGCAGGAGUUUCUGAUUGGUUUUGGCUUGCAGUUCCUAUGUUUUAGAGUUCAGUUUGGGCAGGUGGAACUCAAAACUGGAAAUGUGGGGCCACGUUUCUGCUCUGCUUUCCGGUGCCCACCCCAGGAGCCUGUCCCAAGAAAGGAUUCCUGA
rnacentral:lncRNA from 1 species